UACAGAGGUCUCAAGCGUUGUUCGGAUUCAUUGGGCGUAAAGGGUGCGUAGGCGGCGCGGUAAGUCGGGUGUGAAAUCUUGGAGCUUAACUCCGAAACUGCAUUCGAUACUGCCGUGCUCGAGGACUGGAGAGGAGACUGGAAUUUACGGUGUAGCGGUGAAAUGCGUAGAGAUGGGGGAGAACACUCGUGGCGAAGGCGGCCAGCUAGACCAGUUCUGACACUGAGGCGCGACAGCGUGGGGAGCAAACAGG
rnacentral:rRNA from 1 species